rnacentral:rRNA from 1 species
GACGAACGCUGGCGGCGUGCUUAACACAUGCAAGUCGAACGGAAAGGCCUCUUUCGGGGGGUACUCGAGUGGCGAACGGGUGAGUAACACGUGAGUAACCUGCCCUUGACUUUGGGAUAACUUCAGGAAACUGGGGCUAAUACCGGAUAGGAGCUCCUGCUGCAUGGUGGGGGUUGGAAAGUUUCGGCGGUUGGGGAUGGACUCGCGGCUUAUCAGCUUGUUGGUGGGGUAGUGGCUUACCAAGGCUUUGACGGGUAGCCGGCCUGAGAGGUGACCGGCCACAUUGGGACUGAGAUACGGCCCAGGCACCUACGGGAGGCAGCAGUGGGGAAUAUUGCACAAUGAGUGGAAGCCUGAUGCAGCAACGCCGUGUGCGGGAUGACGGCCUUCGGGUUGUAAACCGCUUUCGCUCAUGACGAAGCUUUGUGUGACGGUAGUGGGUAAAGAAGCACCGGCUAACUACGUG